rfam:Dipodomys ordii contig_22248, whole genome shotgun sequence.
GGUGGCUCAGUGGUAGAGUGCUUGCCUUGCCUGCAUGAGACCCUGGGUUCAAUUCCUCAGCACCA